UACGGAGGAUCCGAGCGUUAUCCGGAUUUAUUGGGUUUAAAGGGUGCGUAGGCUGGGAAUUAAGUCAGUGGUGAAAGUUUGCGGCUCAACCGUAAAAUUGCCGUUGAUACUGGUUCUCUUGAGUACAUUUGAGGCAGGCGGAAUGUGGUGUGUAGCGGUGAAAUGCAUAGAUAUACCACAGAACACCGAUUGCGAAGGCAGCUUGCUAAGAUGUGACUGACGCUGAAGCACGAAAGCAUGGGGAUCAAACAGGAUUAGAUACCCUGGUAGUCCAUGCUGUAAACGAUAAUCACUAGCUGUUUGCGAUAUAUAGUAAGCGGCACAGGGAAACCAUUAAGUGAUCCACCUGGGGAGUACGUUGGCAACAAUGAA
rnacentral:rRNA from 1 species